CUUUCUCUCGACAGGCAGCCAGUCUCGGAAUUUGGACUUGAAGAGGGAGACUGUAAAGUCCAGGCACAGCUGUUCUCUUUGCUCUUAGAGUGUUUCCAGUGCUAGUGUAUGUAGUCCAUCUGUGUAUCUCACUGUGCCCAGGAUGAUAUGUCAAGCACAGGUCCUUAGCAGAUUAGAUCAAACCACAUGACAUUAACAGUAGCUGUAGAUAAUGUAAUGAAAAGUGGGAUCUUGGAGGGUGGUUGAUCAUGGAGGACAUCAGGUGGAUCCAGGUCUGGGGAAGGGAUAUGGUAGGUGUCUCAGAGCAUGGCAGAACCCCUAGAGGACAUCAGGUGGAUCCAGGUCUGGGGAAGGGAUAUGGUAGGUGUCUCAGAGCAUGGCAGAACCCCUAGAUACUGAAGAACAGGAGCAGAGUAAAAGGGAAAGGGAAAGAGACAUAGAGGCAUAGUAGGAUGCAGAAAGAAAACACACAGGUUACAGGUAGAUCCAGGCCAGGUUGAAUUGUCCCUAUAUUGCUAACACCUAUCAAAACUGAUCGGAGGAGAAUAUCUGAGGUUCCUCACCUGUAAGGGCUAAAGGACUGUAUUAUUCUUAGGUUGCUCGUUUGGUUUGGGCGUGCUCGUCUCCGGGCGUCUGUCAGAAUGCAAUGAUGACAAACGGUUGACUUGUAGAUUACUUGGAGGAAUAACAGUAUACAACAGGCAGAGUAUGUUCAGGGCUAUGGGUUGAUCACUAUGAAAGGCUCCUGGCUGUACCACUGAUCCAUAACUAUGGCUGUGGAAGAGUGAAUGUGUGGUUUCUCUAGGAGAGAGCAGAAUACAAAGUGCCAUUAAUAUCAGGAUAACAUACAUAUAAAUACAAUGGAAUUAGGUGCCAUUUUAGGCUUGACCAACUAAUAGUAACUAACUCUUUUAACAGGCCAAAAACACUGAAAAGGCACACUAACGUGCUAUAAUACUCCAAAUGGUAUGCAUACACAAAUAUAAUACAGAGUGUAAGAGCACCCUUAUAACCAAAACGCAACCCGUCAUCCACUAACAAAUGAAUGCCACGGACGGGGCGCACAUGUUACAAACCCACUGCAGAAAUAACCAAACAAAACCCUGUGUUCGCAUUUACUAAAGGAAUGAUGUGUCACACCUAGAUUGAGAAUAGCUUGAGAGAGGCCACCUUUCGUACAAACCCACCUUGUGACUUGUUUACCGACCUGUGUCUGUGCCUGUUUUGCUACACUUUUACCACUUCGGAGGGUACAUCCGUGGUCAGUGGACGGUUCUGAAAAUAAAUGAGUUGUUUGCAUCACCGAGCAGUGGUCAGGAAAUAAUUAAAUCCAAUUGUUAGACGCUACCAUCCCCUUCAAAUCAAAACCGAUGUCAAUGUUUACGCACACACGCUCCAUUCUACUUCCUGUCUGUGGCAACAUGUAAAUAAGUCACACGAUGGGCUAGUGUUAUACUGCUAGACAGAGAUCUUGGUCGAGAAGCUUGGCUAAGUAAUAUUCAGCUGUCAGAGCAGCUCACAGCUGUCAGAGCAGCUCACAGAUCACUGCACCUGUACAUAACCCAUCUGUAAAUAGCCCAUCCAACUACCUCAUCCCCAUACUGUAUUUACUUAUUUAUUGCUCCUUUGCACCCCAGUAUCUCUACUUGCACAUUCAUCUUCUGCACAUCUACCAUUGCAGUGUUGAAUUGCUAUAUUGUAAUUACUUCGCCACCAUGGCCUAUUUAUUGCCUUACCUCCCUUAUCUUACCUCAUUUGCACUCACUGUAUAUAGACUUUUUUUACUGUAUUAUUGACUAUGUUUGUUUAUUCCAUGUGUAAUUCUGUGUUGUUGUAUGUGUCGAACUGCUUUGCUUUAUAUUGGCCAGGCCGCAGUUGUAAAUGAGAACUUGUUCUCAACUAGCCUACCUGGUUAAAUAAAGGUGAAAUAAAAAAAUAAAUACAUAUUCAAGAUAUAGCACAAUUAAUUGUUUGUUUAGUCAACUGAAUCUGAUUUGUUCAGUGCUGUUCCGACUGACAGUUUUUAUAUCAAGUUUUAGAAUGAAAAGAAAGAAAGGAUACCUGUCUGAGAAGUGUUAGUUUCUUGAGGAGGGGUACAACUGGCAGUCGAAGUUGGACAGAAAGCAGCCAGUGGUCAGACAUAGUAGGGAGGAGGGGUUGGGGUCAAGUUGAGUCGAGUGGGCAGGUUGUUGUUCAAUCGGACAUCACUAGACACCGGAUUUCAUCUGGAGGAAGAGGAGACAGGAUGAGGAGAAGGAAGAGGCAGAAUCAAACAGAAGGGAGAGAUGACAGGUUUUACAUCAUACAGAUAUUUUUCAUUAGUGCUGAUUAAGAAGACACAGGGAGAGCAAGACAUUUGGACUAUUGAGAUGUUCCCCUUGUCUGUUUGUCACACACCGUUUACUGAUUGACAUGGUUGAAGUUGCAAUCGCUGCAGUGAUGGUAUUGAUUCCAGAGGAAUGGAGCUUUAAAGAAGAACGGCAACAUACUGCUUGUAAUUGAG
rnacentral:lncRNA from 1 species